rfam:Heterocephalus glaber contig271810, whole genome shotgun sequence.
UAGGGGAGACAGGGUUUGGACCCCCUCCCUGAACCCAGGGUAACCCUAAAAGUGGAGGGGAC